rnacentral:misc_RNA from 1 species
CUGACAUUAUUUUACCUUCGAUGUCAAAUUUGGUAAAUAUUUAUGGCGUUUCCUUGAAUAACAUGACGAGAGACACCGUAAUGGAACUCUGCGUUUUAUCAUUUUGUACUAUUACAAUAUGUUAAUAUAAAGUGAAUAUUGAUACUGCGCCAUCAAAAUUGGAGAAAUCUAAGUCGGAACCGCUGGCUUUGCAAGCGGUGGCAGAUUUAUUUCGGCUCAGGUGGAACAAUAUGGCUUCUAGUGCUAGGCCUAACAUGGGCAUUAGGCCUAGUGAUGACCCGAGUCCGACAACCGAAGUAGUACCGUUUACGGAUUAUGAACAGGGUCAUCAUGGUCAUUAUUUUGUAAAGAAGACAUUUCAUAAGCCUACAUACUGUCAUCAUUGUACAGAUAUGCUGUGGGGACUAAUUGGCCAGGGAUAUAUAUGUGAAGUUUGUAAUUUUGUUGUUCAUGACCGUUGCUUGAAAACAGUUGUAUCUCCUUGCUCUACCAAUGCCAUUCAUGUUUUAAAGAAUCCUGUUCCACACUGUUGGACAGAGCCUGGCCAUCUGAAAAGAAAGUUUUGUAAUGUGUGUAGAAAAAGGAUAGAGGACAGCUGUGCUGUAAGAUGUGAAGUUUGUGAAUACAGUGUUCAUGUAGAGUGUCAUGACUUCAGUGUAGCCAACUGUAAAGAAUGUGCCACUUACCCAACUAGUAGAAAUCUUCCUUCUGUAACCCAGUUUCAUCACUGGAGGGAAGGAAACUUACCAGGAAACUCUAAGUGCCAUUUCUGUAAGAAAACAUGUUGGUCAGCUGAAUGUCUCUCUGGUAUUCGAUGUGAGUGGUGUAAUCUAAUGGCUCAUGCAACAUGUUAUAGGAAUCUUCCAGUAGAGUGUAACUUUGGAUGUAUGGCAAGUAUCAUGCUUCCACCAAGUUGUGUUAGCAUUCCACGCACGGAUGUACCUCUGGAGACAAUAAUGGGAGUUCAAACCAGAAGAAGAGAGACUUUUUCUCCUGCAAGGAGUGUAUCUGAAGAAUUCUCCUCUAGUGGAGACGUAAAGAACAAAGAAUAUGAUGAUUAUUCAUCUCCAAGAGAAAAAGACCGAGAAGAAGAAUUAAUCAGAGUAUAUGAUGGAAAUUCCUCUAUGAAGAGGUCAGCCUACAGGACAAUCAGUAUUUCUCAGAAAGCAAUGAAAGAACAAGUCAUUGGUGCAGCGUUAAGAGCAUUCCACAUCCACGAUGAUCCUAAUAAUUAUUAUUUGAUAGAUGUUUAUGACCCCAAUGAAAAAGAACUUGGGGACUUUCUACCAGUGCAGAGCCUAACACGGCGAGAAGGAAAAAGACCGGCUAUCUUCUUAAGGUAUCGCCCACCAGAACCAGAAAAGGGUUCUUUAAAAGUCUAUCCUGGUAAUUUAGGUGUAACUGAAACCUACGUCACUGUUUCUGUGACAGCUGACUCAAGUGUAGAAGAAAUUAUGGUGCAGGCCUUAGAAAAACUUGGUCUUGAUUCAACCAAUUUGAAUAAAUUUCGACUAAAUGAAGUUUCUCUGGACAGAGGCUCUGUCCAUGAAAGAAUUAUGGACAAUCAAGAGUGUCCAUGGGAACUUCUUAGGAACAUAGCCAGAGAAUCUAUUAGGCAAAUGAGCUUGACGAGGUUUUAUCUGCAACAGAAAGAUGAGUCUCCUGGUAUUACAGUAGCACUGUUUAUUGGCAAUCUCCCUCCAAACCUUUCGCAACGACAGUAUGAAAAGAUUCUCAUUGAUAUGCUGGGAAAACCCUACAGGUUCAAACAGAUUGGGCCAAUCUAUUAUGAAUAUGGCUCAUUGAUUGUCUCAUAUGACAAUGCAGACAUAGCAGUUAAGGCGUUUUACAUGCUGAGAGAAUGUAGUUUUGAUGAUAAAAAUCUUUUAGUCCUUCUUCUACCAAAUAUUACCCCAGAAAUGAUCCCACCAGGAAUUAGGCCAUUGUUAGUGUUCGUUAACGUAAAGAGUGGUGGCUGUCAGGGACUUGAGCUCUUAUCAUCGUUCAGAAAAUUGUUAAAUCCUUACCAAGUUUACGACCUUGAGAAUGGAGGACCUCUGCCUGGCCUGUAUGUGUUUAGACGAGUUAAAGACUAUAAGAUUCUGGUCUGUGGUGGAGAUGGUACAGUAGGCUGGACACUACAGUGUCUGGAUAAUGUUGGUCAAGACUCAGAGUGCUCGUCCCCUCCAUGUGCUAUCCUGCCUCUUGGAACAGGCAAUGACCUUGCUCGGGUUCUUCGUUGGGGUCCAGGCUACACAGGUGGAGAGGAACCGCUUACACUGCUCAAGGAUGUUAUUGAUGCAGAAGAGAUUAGAUUAGAUAGGUGGACUGUAGUGUUUCAUUCUGAUGAAAAAACAGAUGAUAAGCCUGGAAUUGUGACUAAUAGCUCUGGGUCCACAUCUGAGGACAAUACUGCCAUCUUUGUGAUGAAUAAUUACUUUGGAAUUGGAAUUGAUGCUGAUCUCUGUCUUGAUUUUCAUAAUGCUCGAGAAGAAAACCCUAACAAGUUUAACAGUAGACUUCAUAAUAAAGGAGUUUAUUUCAAAAUGGGCCUUAGGAAAAUGGUGGGUAGAAAAUUAUGGAGAGAUUUUAACAAAGAAGUCCGUCUUGAAGUGGAUGGUAAAAUUGUGGAUCUCCCUCCAGUUGAAGGAAUAAUCAUUCUUAAUAUUCUAAGCUGGGGAUCAGGUGCUAAUCCCUGGGGCCCUGAAAGAGAAGACCAAUUUUUGAAGCCUAACCACUAUGAUGGGAUGUUGGAAGUGGUUGGAGUUACAGGAGUAGUCCACAUGGGACAGAUCCAGAGUGGACUCCGGAAUGGCAUCAGGAUUGCCCAGGGAGGACACCUCCGAAUUCGUCUCAACUCUGAAAUGCCUGUACAAGUAGACGGUGAACCCUGGAUUCAGAGUACUGGGGAAGUUGUGGUUCUGCGUUCCGCUCUCAAGGCUACCAUGCUCAAGAAGGCUAAGAGCAAAAUCAAGAGGCGGAACACGGAGCCCAGCAUGCUUCUGUCAGGAACAGAGCCAGGAGCAUCUGCCUCCAUCCUAGUGAGCCAGACUGCAGGUCCCUUCUAGCUGCAAAUUUCUAGUACUCGCCCUUUCCUCUGUUUGCUGUGAUGUCACGUGAGCCAAAAUGCAGGUUCCUUCUAGUUCCAGACUUUAACCCUCGCUCCCUGUCUUUAUGUUUUCUUUUGUUGCUCUGAUCUUUAAGAGCCCUUGCUACUACUUACUGCAUUAAUUUAUCAUCCAAGCUUACACAGAACCUUUCACUGCAUCUUUUACUUUGUUUUUAAAGCAUGAUUCUCUUAUUCUUUUCUCUUUUUUCUUGUUAUUAAUUUUAUGAAAACCUACUUUCAUUAUCAUCUUCUUUGUAGAUGUGUCAUUUUUAAAUUCGUUUUUGUUUUGUAUAUAUAUAUAUAUAUUUAUAUAUUUCACUUAUAGCUGUAAUAUCCAAUAUUGACUGUGAUGUAAAAAAAAAGUGUAUUUUUUGUUGAAUAGGAGAAAUCAUUGUAUUUAAUGAUUAUCACAAUUGUUUGCCUGAACAGAAAGAAAAAAAUAGCUCCCUAAACUUUUAUGUACAUGAGUUGUGUUGCAACCAUAGACCAUAGAAGGUGAAAAUCAAGUGGAAUUGAAAUUUCUUAUAUAUGUUGCAUUGAAUUUGUUCUAGUAGAAAUAUGAUAUUUAUUCUGAAUGAAAGCUUUUGUACACAAAAGUAGAGAUUGAGAAAGGAAAUGUUUAUAAUUAUCAUCUUUGAGAUGGAUUCCUAGCAUGAAGAGAGCAGAUUAAAAUAAAAGUUUCCUUUACAGUUCUGUGUAGUCUCUCAAGUUUGUUUUUUUAUGUGAGACUUCACUGACAGAAGAGCUGGAUAUUACUUCUUCCUUAAGGGAUAUUGGUGUCCUUACAUUCUUUUAUAUGGAAAUACGUAUUCACUUGCAUAAGUGAAAUAUUCUCAAAGAGAAAAAUGUGAACUUUAUAUUUUCAUUGUUUGUGGAAAACCAUGAUUAAGGACCUUUUCUUUGAGUCAUUUGUAAUAGAGGUUUCGUCUCUUCUUGUUUGAAGCCAUGAAAAAAGAAUUGGUUAAUUAGUAGACUGUAAUUGAAUCUUUCAUUUUGUUUGAAGCUUUUCUUAAAUGAAAGAGCUAAUUAGAUAUUAUCUCUACUUGAGCGCAUCCUCUUUAAAAGAGUUUUGAUCAUCUUUCUUUUAGGAAGCUUCUGUAAAAAACAAACUUGGUAGACCUUAUUCCUUUACCUUUCAAAGGAAAAAUUGUGAUCUUAACCUGUGUUUUAUAUAUCCCAGAAAGAACAGCUACUGUAGGAAGACCUUCUUUAGGUCUUCAAGGGGGGGGGGGACAUUGUAUUAUUUACAGUUUAAAACUACACUAGAAGAAAGGCUACCCUAUUUGAGAGUUUUCUGAUAUAUAUAUAUAUAUUUACUGUCAUUAAGGUCUUCUUACAUGUACAUUCCUGAUUUUGUUUUAUUGUUUUAAUUUACUUGAAAAUUGAUUAGGAGACAUUAUUAUAUAAUUCCUGAUGAAGGAACAGUGGUCUUUUGUUUUGGUAGAAACAAGAACUGGAUAACUCCAAAAGUAAGACCUGUAGCAUUUUCAUUUGUUUUUUAAGCUGUAUAAAGAUAAUUGUGUAGAUCCUAGUUUAGCUUUAAAAAAAGGGUUAACUGUGUUUUUUUCAGUUGUUUCAAGUUUCUCUUGGUGAUCUAGUUUGUUAACGUAUGGGAAUUUACUGUGUGAAAGAUUUUUUUAAGUAAAGUUUAGUUUCUCAGUGUUUUGUUCAUUACAUCUAUUUAAAAUAUUCCUAAAUAAAUGUGUUUACUGACUAAUCAUUAAUUUUAAAUAAAGUCUUGCCAUAUGGAGACUUCACUACUGGUUAGUCUUUAUUAGAUUCCUUUGUAAGAUGUGUUUACUGGCUAUUCAUUACAUAUUGUUUUAUGUACCUAAUUGGACACGUUUCUUACUAGUCAUUAUAUUUGGCUAAAGAGAUGUGCACAAAGCUGAGAAAAGUAUUGCUCAUUUCUGGCAUUAUGGGACAUGUUUUAAGAUGCUUGCCUACAGUUUCAUGCAUUAUUUUGGAUCCCUGACCAUUACAUAGGUAAGCAGCAAGUGUUGGAAAAUAGGAGACCAUUGGAAAAUAUCUUAAUUGUUCAGUAACCCUUAGUAGGCUUGUAUUCAUCGCUUUAAGAUAUUCCUUUAUUAGACAUGUUUACUGGCUAGUCAUUAAAUCUGAUAAAAAAUACUUCUCUUUGGAAACAUGUGUACUAACUAGUCAUUAUAGGUGGUUAAGAUAUACGUAUGUAAAGACAUGUUUACUGGCUAGUCAUUACAUCUGGUAAAGUUUCUUCUAUUUGGAAAUGUUUAUUAUCUAGUCAUUACAGGUGGUUAAGAUAUAUGUAUGUAAAGACAUGUUUACUGGCUAGUCAUUACAUCUGGUAAAGUUUCUUCUAUUUGGAAAUGUUUAUUAUCUAGUCAUUAUAGGUGGUUAAGAUAUACGUAUGUAAAGACAUGUUUACUGGCUAGUCAUUACAUCUGGUAAAGUUUCUUAUAUUUGGAAAUGUUUAUUAUCUAGUCAUUAUAGGUGGUUAAGAUAUACGUAUGUAAAGACAUGUUUACUGGCUAGUCAUUACAUCUGGUGAAGUUUCUUAUAUUUGGAAAUGUUUAUUAUCUAGUCAUUACAGGUGGUUAAGAUAUAUGUAUGUAAAGACAUGUUUACUGGCUAGUCAUUACAUCUGGUAAAGUUUCUUCUAUUUGAAAAUGUUUAUUAUCUAGUCAUUACAUUUGGUUAAGAUAUACCUAUGUAGAGACAUGUUUACUGGCUAGUCAUUACAUCUGGUAAAGGUACUUCCAUUUGGAAAUGUUUUUUAUCUAGUCAUUACAUUUGGUUAAUACAUACCUAUGUAGAGACAUGUUUACUGGUUAGUCAUUUCAUCUGGUAAAGGUACUUCUAUUUGGAAACAAGUUUACUAUCUGUUUAUUAUAUGCGGUUAAUAUAUACCUAUGUAGAGACAUGUUUACUGGCUAGUCAUUACAUUUGGUAAGGUUUCUUCCAUUUGGAAAUGUUUACUAUCUAGUCAUUACAUUUGGUUAAUACAUACCUAUGUAGAGACAUGUUUACUGGCUAGUCAUUUCAUCUGGUAAAGAUACUUCUAUUUGGAAACAAGUUUACUUUACAGUCAGUACAUUUGGUUAAUAUAUACCUAUGUAGAGACAUGUUUACCGGUUAGUCAUUUCAUCUGGUAAAGAUACUUCUAUUUGGAAACAAGUUUACUUUAUAGUCAGUACAUUUGGUUAAUAUAUACCUAUGUAGAGACAUGUUUACCGGUUAGUCAUUUCAUCUGGUAAAGAUACUUCUAUUUGGAAACAAGUUUACUUUACAGUCAGUACAUUUGGUUAAUACAUACCUAUGUAGAGACAUGUUUACUGGCUAGUCAUUUCAUCUGGUAAAGAUACUUCUAUUUGGAAACAAGUUUACUUUACAGUCAGUACAUUUGGUUAAUAUAUACCUAUGUAGAGACAUGUUUACUGGCUAGUCAUUUCAUCUGGUAAAGAUACUUCUAUUUGGAAACAAGUUUACUAUCAGUUCAUUACAUGUGGUCAAGAUAUAUACCUUUGUAGAGAUGUGUUUUCAUUACUUCUAAGAUACUCCUAUAAUGAAAUUUGUUUCUAAGUGUUCAGCAUAUCGGCUUGAGAAUUGCUAAAGGAAUUUUGAUUCAUUCCUACUAUUUUUUUAACAGUCCAAAGGUUAAGGCUGGUCAAUGGGAAACUUGCAUGAAUUUAUUCAAAGAUAGCUUUGUCACUAAUGUAAUUUCUUGCUGGCUCAGGAGAUUGCUUACUUGUAUUCUAGAUUUAUGAGAAAUACUAGUGACAUUAGAGGGGAGAGAGAACUUGUGAGCCAACAUGGCUCCUGAUUUUAGUAUUAUUGUUUUAAAGAUAUGUUUUUUUAUAUUUUGUCAUUUUUGUCAAGCUGGACUAAAGAUCUUGGUUACUUCAUUAGGCCUAUUGUCACUUUUUAAAGAUUAAUUAUCUACAAUCUUGUUUAAGUGUUCUAUAGAAUAAAAAUUAUUAUCAUGUCCUUACUGUAAAACACCAAACUCAAUUCCUGAAUAUCAUAAAAUCUGUUUCAAAAAGUCCAUUGUAUUACAAAAGCUACAAUGAGAUGUGAAUAAAGUAACAGUAUUAAGAGAUUCUACUUUUUCUAUAUUCCUGUAUUUAUGUUACAUAUUAAAGUUGUGGAGCUAUUUUUCAUAAUUCCUCUACAUCACAGUCUGUUUUAGUUGACUAACCUUGCAGCAUGCUCCCUGAAACCAUUGAAAAGAAUGCAUAGUUAGUUAUUAUGUACAGAUGUGUAAUGCAUAGUUAGUAUUUAUGUACACAUGAUCAUUCAUAUACAGCUUUUCUCUACAAAUUUGCAGUUAAAGUAACAAUGACCAAAUGCCACUGAGACACCUGUAUGAUACAUUUUUUAUCCAUUGAUAGUAUCUCUAAUAGCUGAAACAAGAACAAAUGUAUCACAUUAUUUUUAUCAUGUGUAGCACUUUUGUUGAGAACAUUAGAUAUCCUGUUACAGUUGUAUAUGUAUAUAUUACUUCUGUUAAGUGUGUGGAGGUUACUUCUUAAUCCUUUGUCUAUUCUAAAUGAUUAGGAACUUGAAAACAUCACUCAUUAUCAGAAAAACUACUAAUAAAGUGAUGAUGUUGAUCAUGUAUACAUGGCACCAAUCUUCUUCAAGAAAGAUAUCAGUAUUUUAAUGCCUUUACAACAUUUAAAAAACAUAUGUUGCAUUAGGUAUUGAAUUUGUUUUACCAUACUACUGUUAGAUAAGACAGAUACACAGUCAUUGAUGUCACUGUACGUGUUAAAGAAUUAUUUGUUAAGUAAGACUCCAUUGCAAGACUACAGAAGGAUUAUUAUUACGUUGUAAUAACUUAAUUACUUUUGUUAUAUCUCUGUUCUAGAUCACAGCAACUUGUCAUUAUAUUUGUUAAAACUUUUACGUAUAUAUCGCUGAAUUUGAUUGAUUAUGCACUAUGUGACUACAAUAGAUCUAGUUACCUUCUUUUGUUAUAAAAUAAUUUACAUCACUGAAUUAAAUCUUGUGCCUACAGCCAGUACAGUUCAUUAUUUCAUUACAAAAACAAGAAAUUUAGCAAAACCAAUCUAUAAUUUACUAUAGAUCCAGCUAUAUUAUUGCUUUACAAAAUGUUGUUUAUUGAGUAGAAUGUCGAGAGUGGCCCAGUGGUUAGCAUGCUGGAUUUAUGGGUUUGCUGCUCAUCAAUCACAUCCUAUUAUUGCAAUACAAAAUCAUAUUUCACAAUUUGAAAGCAUGCAUCUAUUUUAAAGAUGAUGAUCAUAUUACACUAUUCAGUCAGAUAAGUUAGUGUGGUGGGUGCUAUUGGCUAAAUGCCUUUUCUCUAGUCUAUCACUGAUAGUGCUUGAUUAGCUUUGCAUGAAUAUCUGAAAAGAAAUGAAUACAAAACAUGCAAUAUUAAGUACAAAUGUAGUGUAAAUAUACAUUUUUUGAUCAUAGACAAUUCAAUUAAAAAUCAGUUUAAAUAUUUUAUAGCUUUAUAUUAUACAUGCAUUCCUUAUUUUAAUAGGACCAAUCUAAGUAUACACAAUAACCAUAGUGUUAUGUUGUUGCUUUAAGAAAUAGCAUUUUUUUAUUUUUCAGGACCAACCUAAAUACAUACACUAACCAUAAUAGAUCUAGUGAUGUUGUUGCUUUAAGAAAUAGCAUUGUUUAUUUAGUAGGACAAGUCUAAGAAUGUACACAUACACAUUAACUAUUAUAUAUGUAGUUAUAAUGUUGCUUUGCAAAAUAGCAUUUUUUAUUUAGUAGGACCAGUAUAAGUAAAAACCAUCUGACCUUAGUAACUCAAGUUGUUUUUAUUAAUUAUGAAAUAAUAAAAUUCUGAUUGUAAAAUUACUUAAAACGUAGUAAGAACAGGUUAUUCUGAUGAAAUAUGACAAAGAAAGACUUCACUGUUAUUGAUUAAUAAAUAUAGGUUGUUGUGGAAAAUAGCAAGCAUGAUUUAUGAUAUCAAAUAUUUGUAAGAACUUGUACUAAGCUAACUGUGUCUAAAUUAUUUUUGGCAUUCUUUGUAUUAUAAAUUGUUUAACUGCUCAUAUACAGAAAAAAACAUUUUAAAAUUAAUCGUAAAGUGUUGCCAACAUUGCAGGUGUUAAGAAUGUGUCUAA